rnacentral:rRNA from 1 species
AACGAACGCUGGCGGCAGGCUUAACACAUGCAAGUCGAACGCCCCGCAAGGGGAGUGGCAGACGGGUGAGUAACACGUGGGAACGUGCCCUAAGGUUCGGAAUAUUCCCGGGAAACUGGGAGCAAUACCGAAUGUGACCGCAAGGUGAAAGAUUUAUCGCCUUAGGAUCGGCCCGCGUCGGAUUAGCUAGUUGGUGGGGUAAUGGCCUACCAAGGCGACGAUCCGUAGCUGGUCUGAGAGGACGACCAGCCACACUGGGACUGAGACACGGCCCAGACUCCUACGGGAGGCAGCAGUGGGGAAUCUUGGACAAUGGGCGCAAGCCUGAUCCAGCCAUGCCGCGUGAGUGAUGAAGGCCUUAGGGUUGUAAAACUCUUUCGCCGAGGACGAUAAUGACGGUACUCGGAGGAGAAGCUCCGGCUAACUUCGUGCCAGCCGCCGCGGUAACAC